rnacentral:rRNA from 1 species
CAAGGAAUAUUGGUCAAUGGACGCAAGUCUGAACCAGCCAUGCCGCGUGGAGGAUGAAGGCCCUCUGGGUUGUAAACUUCUUUUAUCUGGGACGAAACACUUCUUAUCUAAGGAGCUUGACGGUACCAGAUGAAUAAGCACCGGCUAACUCCGUGCCAGCAGCCGCGGUAAUACGGAGGGUGCAAGCGUUAUCCGGAUUCACUGGGUUUAAAGGGUGCGUAGGCGGACUUGUAAGUCCGUGGUGAAAUCUCCGAGCUUAACUCGGAAACUGCCAUGGAUACUAUAAGUCUUGAAUGUUGUGGAGGUUAGCGGAAUAGUUCAUGUAGCGGUGAAAUGCUUAGAUAUGACCUAGAACACCAAUUGCGAAGGCAGCUGGCUACACAAUAAUUGACGCUGAGGCACGAAAGCGUGGGGAUCAAACAG